rnacentral:lncRNA from 1 species
CAUCAUGAUCACCUUGACCAAGAUGGAUGCCAUGUGCCUACUGAAAAAAUUGAACAAUGGGACCUGUGGGUUUCGACCGAUGAUCACACAGUUUUGAUCGUCUCGUCCAGGUGACUACCAUGCCAUUAACGACACCUUCAUUGAAGUUCCGUUUAAAGUUAUGGAUUUGCUCCCUUUUUUUUCUGUCGUGAAUUGUGGCAUGUUUGGUAGUUAUUUAGAGCAUCGAGGUUGCUCUUUUUUCUUUUUUCUUUUUGCUCUUUCUUUUCCUUUUUCAGGUUUCUUGAUUGAAGAAUUUUUUAUAGUUUCUCUCUCCUAUUCAUCCAUAGCUUCUUCCUCUGCUGUCUCUUAUGUCCUCUCUUUUAUCACCAUUGCGUUUGACCCGUCC